GCACAAACACAAACAGUGGCGUGAGCUCCGUCCUCGAGGAACACACUGCACCGAGCGGAGCACUUCUUGUACCCAACCUACGUGCGGGCGCGCGCGCGCGGUUCCGCUCCGGCAGGGCCACGGGUCGGCGCCGGCGGGACGCGCGCUGCGUGACACCGCAGCGGAGAGCGGAUCCCUUCCUGCAGAGGAUCAGAGGCUGAAGAAUUACCAACGGGAUGUUUCAUUAACGCUCCAGUGGCCUUGUGGGGCAUCAACUGCACUGCGUACGGUUUCAGGCUCCUCCGUGUCAGUGAACAGGGCAACUGAAGGUGGAUGUCCUCCACAAGCCCUACUGGCACCCGUGUCCAAAACUGAGUGCAACCAGGAGAAGUCCUGCUGUCGGAGAUGGUGGCUAUCUAACAGGAGUAUCGCCAUGAGUUGGAAUUCAGCUGAGGCUCAAAAUGCUCUGAGAAAUAAAGCUCUAUAAAUAUGUGCAACAUAAUCUGCCAGCAAGGUAUGCUGAUGUCGUUAAGUGCCAUUGAGUCGAUAUUUACUCUUUUUGACCAUGUAUGUAAAGAUGCUCCAGAUUCUUCUGUCCUCCUCUAAUGUCCUCUGUCUUGACUCCGUUGAUCUGGUUGCUCCUCAUCCUUUUUUUUCUUCCUCCAGCUUUUCCAUCAUCACUAUCUUUUAGAGAGAAUCCAGUCUUCUUGUGAUCUAUGAUGACCUUAUUGUCAUCAUCUAUGAUUCCUGUGAGAGUUCUAACUUGAUUUAACCCAACAUCCAUCUGUAUGUUUUCCUGGCUGUCCACAGUAACCUUAACUGAGCACCACAGUUCAAAGGAGUUAAAGUUUUUCUUGUAGUAUUUUUUUCAUGACCAUCUUUCACAUGCAGUAAAGGUAUGAAGAUCAAAAUCAAACGUGACUAGUGUGCACCAUCCAUAGACUCAGUGCUUAUUUUAAUAUUACUCUACUUUAUG